rnacentral:rRNA from 1 species
UACGAAGGGUGCAAACGUUGCUCGGAAUUAUUGGGCGUAAAGCGCACGUAGGCGGCUCUGUAAGUCGGAUGUGAAAUCCCUCGGCUCAACCAAGGAAGUGCAUUCGAAACUGCGGAGCUUGAGUAGUUAAGAGGAUCGCGGAAUUCCCGGUGUAGAGGUGAAAUUCGUAGAUAUCGGGAGGAACACCAGUGGCGAAGGGCGGCGAUCUGGGAACAUACUGACGCUGAGGUGCGAAAGCGUGGGGAGCAAACAGG